CGUAACACGUGAGCAACCUACCGAAAUGCGGGGGAUAGCCGGCCUAACGGCCGAGUAAUACCGCAUACGCUCUUUAUGAGGCAUUUCAUGAAGAGGAAACCUACGGGGUAUUUCGAGGGGCUCGCGGCCUAUCAGCUAGUUGGCGAGGUAACGGCUCACCAAGGCAACGACGGGUAGCUGGUCUGAGAGGAUGGCCAGCCACAUUGGGACUGAGAUACGGCCCAG
rnacentral:rRNA from 1 species